AAAGGUACUCAAGGGCGUUAAAUGGAUGCCUAGACGUAUAUUACCGAUGAAGGACGUGGAAGACUGCGAUAAGCCUCGGGAAGCUGUCAACAAGCUUUGAUCCGGGGAUUUCCGAAUGGGGAAACCUAGUAUGAGUCAUGUCAUAUUGCCAAUAGCUGAACACAUAGGCUAUUAGAGCGGGAACUGUCUGAACUGAAACAUCUUAGUAAGACAAGGAAAAGAAAGUAAAUAACGAUGGCGGGAGUAGUGGCGAGCGAAACCGUUAGAGCCCAAACCUUUUAAGUUUCUUUCUGUUUACAGAAAGAUAAGCUGAUAGGCGAAUACUUAACAAGGGGUUGUGAUAUUACAUACGACCAAACUAGAGCGUUGAAAUUUAUUUCAGCAAUCUGGUUUGCGAUUGCGGGCUAUCAACUAGCAAGUAAGGUAAAAAAUCGGCGUGGUUAGCAGAAUAGUUUGAAUGACUAACCAAAGAACGUGAAAGUCGCGUAUGCGAAAACGACGCUGACCUUAUGUGUGUUUUAUUGAGUAAAACGGGGCACGAGAAACCCUGUUUGAAUCUGGCUGGACCACCAGCCAAGGCUAAAUAUAAUAUACGAUCGAUAGUGAACUAGUACAGUGAUGGAAAGGUGAAAAGAACCCCGGGAGGGGAGUGAAAUAGAUCCUGAAAUUUAACGCCUACAAGGAGUCGGAGCGGGCUUGUCCCGUGACGGCGUGCUUUUUGUAGAACGAUCCAGCGAGUUAAUUUUAUCAGCGAGGUUAAGUCAAUUGACGGAGCCACAGUGAAAGCGAGCCUGAAUAGGGCGAUUAGUUGAUAGGAUUAGACCCGAAACCGGGUGACCUAACCAUGAGCAGGCUGAAGCUACUGUAACAGGUAGUGAAGGGCCGAACCGUAGAGCGCAGUAAAGCUCCCGGAUGACUUGUGGUUAGCGGUGAAAUGCCAAUCGAACUCGGAGAUAGCUGGUUCUCCUCGAAAUAACUUUAGGGUUAGCGUCGUGUGGUA
rnacentral:rRNA from 1 species